rnacentral:rRNA from 1 species
GAUGAACGCUGGCGGCGUGCCUAAUACAUGCAAGUUGAGCGAACGGACGAGAAGCUUGCUUCUCUGAUGUUAGCGGCGGACGGGUGAGUAACACGUGGAUAACCUACCUAUAAGACUGGGAUAACUUCGGGAAACCGUAGCUAAUACCGGAUAAUAUUUUGAACCGCAUGGUUCAAAAGUGAAAGACGGUCUUGCUGUCACUUAUAGAUGGAUCCGCGCUGCAUUAGCUAGUUGGUAAGGUAACGGCUUACCAAGGCAACGAUGCAUAGCCGACCUGAGAGGGUGAUCGGCCACACUGGAACUGAGACACGGUCCAGACUCCUACGGGAGGCAGCAGUAGGGAAUCUUCCGCAAAGGGCGAAAGCCUGACGGAGCAACGCCGCGUGAGUGAUGAAGGUCUUCGGAUCGUAAAACUCUGUUAUUAGGGAAGAACAUAUGUGUAAGUAACUGUGCACAUCUUGACGGUACCUAAUCAGAAAGCCACGGCUAACUACGUG